UUUAAUUAUACAAUACAAUAAUGUUUUUAUCUCUAGAAAAAAGCAGAAGAAGCUCAUAAAAUUUUUGAAGGUCUUGGACCAAAAGUUGAACUGCCACUGUAUAACCAGCCAUCAGAUACCAAGGUGUACCAUGAGAACAUCAAGACUGGAGUACCUGCAAGGCGCAUGAUGAAGUAAGAUAAUGAAGCUUUUUCAUUUAAGACUAGUGAUGACACCGUCCCCCACCAAGCCACAUCUGCCAUUGCAAAGUAGAAGUGCCACGGAUCAUUUUAUCAUUAUUCAAAAUCCUAUUCUAGGGAACUCCCUUCCAUGACUCUUGCUAAUGACGGUAUUUGUAGACCCUUCUGCCAUUUACUGUCCUGGUGCCUUGGAAGCGCUCGGUCACCUCAUGUGGGUGAGGAGGCUGCUCCAGAAUGUAGUUUGCUUGGCCUUGCUCAUCCUAGUACCAGGCCUUCAUGGAUGCACAUUUUGGAAUAAGAAAAUAAGUGAAAAGAAAACCUAAUUUCUUUAUCUGAUUGAAGUGAGAGAGGAAGCUAGAUAGGUAUCUUUUUUUUUUUUUUAAAUUAUCAUACUUUAAGAGAAUUUUCAGUGAAUUAUUCUUAGUUUGUGACACAAAUGUUAUAUUUCUACUUUAUGUGUUUUAUUAAAUAUUACCAGAAUCAUCAUAAUUAUUUACUACUACAGUUACUAAUGAGCGCAUUGCUAUUUAUAUCUUUUAUUUUUUCCUUUUUUUUUCUUUUUAUUUCUGAGUGUGUGCAAUAGUUGACUACUUUGCAGAAUUGGUGGCAAAUAUAAUUUGCAUGGUAGUAUGCAUGAAAACGAUUGAGUUUUGAAUAAUUACAACUUUUGUUAAAUAAGUGGGUUAUAAUAAAAGUCAUAUAUACUUAUGAAUUUUUUUCUGUGAGAUGCUGCUAUGGUCUUGAGAACCCUCAGAAGUAGGUUAGACCAAACUCAAAAUAUAUCUUGUUUUGGAACUGUAUAGCUGUUUUUUACAUUUUUUAAAAGGAGUCUAGCAUAUAAAAUUUUGUUGGCUACUUUUAAUGAUUUUCUUUUCCCCCCACAAAGCUUUAGUUAUGUUUGUGUUCUGUCUCCCCCCACCCCCAAGUUUAAGCUGGGUAGUAGAUCUGUCUGAUUUAUUUCAUGUUAUCUACAGUGCCUAUUUCAUGCUCAACACACUGUCCUGAGAUGGGUUUCUGACUGGCUGACAUCAUUUAGAAUCUUAAAAACAUUUAAAAUUGUAUUUAUUGGUUGUCAUUUGCUUUUGACUAGCACAUAAUUACAAAGAGAUCAGAUUGAAUACAUGGUAACAUUCCCACUGUAUGUCAUCUUUUAAAAUACUUUUACUUAGCUGCAUGCAUUCAUAUGAAUCGUUCAUCGUCAUUUGCUUUGUAUGAAACAGCAAAUGUACCUUAUAAUGAUUCUUUUCAUCUCUUGGCUACUUUUUCAUAUAGCCAGCUCCUGAUUGUCCAUGCUUAUUUGAGUGGAGCCAGUGUCACUGUUAGCCCUGAGUGGCAGAUAAUCCAAAAAAUUACUUCUACUUGCCUUGGCUUUGUAUUUAUAUUUGAAUAAUCAGCUUGAAAUCCUUUCUGGAAGUAGGUGGGGUAUAAAUAUUUAUAUUUGAACCUGCAUGUCAUUGUUUUGAAGGUCAUAGUGCUUCAGAUUUAAAAAGUAAAACUGUUACAUUAGGAUAUACAAGAAGAUUUCCUGUCUUGUCACAUUGCCCUCCAUUACUACUUAGAGUGGAUUGUGUCAUUUCUGUGACUGAAACAAAACUUCUGUUUAAAGCAGAAGUCACUUCUCUCUAAAUAUGUUGGUAGACAUUCCUCUCACAGACGGGAGAUCAGCACUUUACCUAAGGUAGGGAGGUAACUUUAAAAGAUUUUCUUUCUUUUUACCUCCCUCCUCCACGAGUAUGCAAAGAUUUUUAUAUCACCAAAGUUCUUAAGAAGGAUAGAUAGCUGUGUAAUUAUA